rnacentral:rRNA from 1 species
UACGGGGGGGGGCAAGCGUUGUUCGGAAUCACUGGGCUUAAAGCGUGUGUAGGCGGAUCGUUAAGUACCUUGUGAAAUCCCACGGCUCAACCGUGGAACUGCUGGGUAUACUGGCGGUCUUGAGCCACCUAGGGGCAACUGGAACAAGCGGUGGAGCGGUGAAAUGCGUAGAUAUCGCUUGGAACGCCAACGGUGAAAACAGGUUGCUGGGGGUGUGCUGACGCUGAGACACGAAAGCCAGGGGAGCGAACGGG